GUCUUGGCCUGAUGCCGAGACCCUCUCUUGUUCUACCUCUGCCCUCCCACAGCUCUGGCUCUCCGGGUAUCCUAGCACUGUCACUGCAUUGAGCUGAGGUUGCAUGUGUUCUCAGAGAAACCUACUGCCUGCCUCUAGAUUUAGAGAUAUUAACAAUUCAGAGGAGGAGAGAAUGGAGUUUGUAUCUCUUUGCCACUUGUGAGAUAUAGAUUUGUACAGAUGUGUCCCUGAAGCCAUAUAUCCAGAUCUGUUUUAAACUUGCCAUCCUGUUUCCAUAUUCCAGAACAAACAUUCGAGAGAGAUGGGAGAAAACAAUCAAGAAUUUAUUUUUGAAUUUAAUUAUUCAUUCAUAUGUUUAACAAAGGUUUAUUAAAUACUUACUGAGGGCAAGAAACUGUGUAGGCAAAAUAGAUAAGAAUUGAACAGCGGCCUUCCCCUCAAGGCACUUAGUUUUUCCGGGUGGACAGGUUCAUAAACAGCUAACUGGAAUGUAUCGCAGUAAAUGUUUAAAUAAAGGUACAUGCAAGGUACUUAGGGACCACAGAAUAGGAUGUAAGUAACUGCCCUUCAGAGCUGCCAAGGGAGACUUCUACAGUGGUGGUGCUGUCUGAGCCGGAGUUCUGGGUGAGCAGUUCACAGGCAGAGGCAGGAGUGGGCGUCACAGGCCAGAAAAGCAGCAAAGGCAGAAGGGCCUGAGUGAGCCCGCACAUGCUGGGAAGAGGGCGAUGCAGCAUUUCUGGGGCCCGGAGUGCAGAUAGGAAAGAGAUUGGAAAUGAAAUUAGAAAGGUGCUGGGGCUUGCACAGUGAAAGGCCCCAAAUACCUGGAAGACUUUGGGCUGGCUUGAUACUUAGGGUAGACAGUGGGAGAGGGGCUAGCAAAAAGUUUCUCAGCAGGGCAGUUAAGGCAAAGAAGCAAAAUUACAUGUGGCUUUUAUUGGACAUUUGCAGUGGUAGCUUCGGAGGGAGAAACAAGGCUUUCCCAGGAUGGGUGUCUUGAUUGCCUGGGUUAUAGUCCUGCCAUUGGCUGGAGAGCCUACCUUGGGAGAACUUGGUAGUUAAGAACCAGGCAUGGAGUCACACUGGUCAGUUUGAGUCCUGGUUCUGACAUAUGCUAGCAGAGGAACUCUUGAGCAAGUUACUGAAUGUUUUUGUGCCUCAGUUUCCUUACCUAUAAAAUCGGGGGAUAUAAGGUUGUUUUUAAUUUAAAUGAACUAGAAUGUAAAAUGUUUCUCAGGUUGCCUGGCCUAGUAACAACUCUUUUAGCAUUUGUGAGUAUUAUUACGAUCAUUAUUGUUGCUGCUGCUGUUACUGCUACCAGAAUUGAGGUGGGAAAUUAAGAGACAUAGUACUCAGAACCUGGAGGGCUGUGGCAUUUAAAUAUCUACUGGGGCCAGGCGCGGUGGCUCAGGCCUAUAAUCCUAACAGUUUGAAAGACCAAGGCAGAAGGAUCACUUGAGGUUCGGAGUUCAAGACCAACCUGGGCAAUAUAGCAAGACCCUGUCUCUACAAAAAAAAAAAAAAAAAGCGUGUACUGGGCCUGAUAUAUUGGAGCUUUAGGACCCAGUUUAAGCACUAGGAGAUCUGGGCAUUGUGGUGCAUGCCUGCAAUUCACGAGGCUGAGGUAGAAGAAUCACUUGAGUGCAAGAGUUCGAGUCCAGCUUGGACAACAUAGUGAGAGCCUGUCUCUUACACACACACACACACACACACACACACACACUAGGAGAGUUUUGUGGUUUUUUUAAGUAAAUAAAGAACAUGUUUUGAACAUGCUUCCCAUGGGUCAUGCAUAUAGAGCAGUUACUUGCAGCUUUCCCUAUCUUGACAAUGCUCCAAAGUUCAUGGACUUUCUGCUUAGUACUUGGAUAGCAUGGUAAGGAAGCAUCUUAACCAUGGCAGUGUUGAGUGAUGAGCACGGGGCCUGAGGCAUCGUAAGCACCCAGCAAAUGUUUACUCAACUGUCUCUUUCCACCCAAGAGCCUUGAGGUGAAUUUAACAUUUCUGUCUGAACUUACCUCGCCUGCCUCCAGGAUGUGGAAGUUAAGGUUUUUUUGUUGUUUUUUUUUUUUUUGUAUUUUAGUGGAGACAGAGUUUCACUUUGUUGGCCAGGAUGGUCUUGAUUUGCUGACCUCAUAAUCCGCCUGCCUUGGCCUCCCAAAGUGCUGGGAUUACAGGCGUGAGCCACUAUGCCCGGCCCAGCUUUAUUUUACCUGUACAUGCAGAUAUUAGUAGUUUUUAUUUAAUUUAAGCACUUGCUCUGAAAGUGCUUUUUUUUUUUUUUUGCCCUCAAGGUAGGUUUAUUUUACUUGUACAUGCAGAUACCUUGGGGGCAAAAAAAAAAAAAAAAAAAAAAACGCUUUCAGAGCAAGUGCUUACAUUAAAUAAAAACUAGUUGUUUUAUUAAAUUUACCAGAGAAUCACAGGUAAAUCAGUUAAUCCUGCCCUGUUUUCAGAUAAGAAAGCCAUGCCCCAUUAUGAGGAAAUAACCUCUCGGUGUCAGAUAGUAAGAUCCAGAACCUGACCUCCUACAUCCCCUGGUGUUGAAUGAGUGUCUUGUUGAGGCAGGGGUGAGAGACAUCAGCUAGUUUGGAUGUGUGCAUACAAUGUGAGAGUACCCCAAUUUGAAGCUUUCAUGAGGAGGAACAGUUAGUUGUCCAUUCUGGUUCAGCUGGUAGUGGCCUCCUUUGCAUGGACUGCAGGUCCCGCAGCCCACUGACGAAUAAGCUUUUGCUUCAGCUGAGGUCCAAGCCUACUGACAAUACCAUGCGCAGAUACGCAGAUGCAACUUGAUGAACUGUUACACACGUGUGUGCGCGGUUCCCAGUGCCAGACCAAGAAAGAAAAUGUAGUCAGCACCAAAAGGCCCCUCCCCGCAGUCCCUGCACUUAAGAAUAGAUACAAAGUCCACUUUUUGUUUUUGAGCGUCAUGUAAAUGAAAUCAUACAGUGUGUAUGAUUAGCUUGGCUUGUUGGCAUGUGUCUGUAGUCUCAACUACUUGGGAGGCUGAGGUGGGAGGAUUGCUUGAGCCCAGGAGGCAGAGGUUGCAGUGAGCCAAGAUUGCACCACUGCACUCCAGCCUGUGUGACAGAGCAAGAGUCUGUCUCAAAAAAAAAAAAAAAAAAAAAAAAAAAUGGAAGUAUGAACCUUCCAACAUUUGUGUGGCUAAAGUACUCUGCUGAGGACCAUGCAAAGAUGUGCCAUAAUGUAAGCACCAUCUACUUUUAAACAUGUUGGUUGUCCCCAUUUUCCAUGAUUACCCUCAUGUGGUAGAGGGCAUUCUUGUAUUUUUAUGUGUAUGUGUACUUUGUAUCUCAUGUGUCCAUAUUCGCAUGCUUGUCCAGUUAUUUUCCUUGGGCAUGUUUCUGUGUCAAACAAUAUAUGUGCUUUUCAAGUUUUGGGUCCGGGCAUGGUGGCUCAUGCCUGUAAUCCCAGCACUUUGGGAGGCGGAGUUGGGCAGAUCACCUGAGGUCAGGAGUUUGAGACCAGCCUUGCCAACCUCGUCUCUACUAAAAAGACAAAAUUAGGCCGGGCGCGGUAGCUCACACCUGUAAUCCCAAUACUUGGGGAGGCCGAGGCAGGCAGAUCACCUGAGGUCGGGAGUUCAAGACCAGCCUGACAAACAUAGAGAAACCCCAUCUCUACUAAAAAUAUAAAAUUAGACAGACAUGUUGGCGCAUGCCCGUAAUCCCAGUUACUCGGGAGGCUGAGGCAGGAGAAUCGCCUGAACCCAGGGGGUGGGGUUAUGGUGAGCUGAGAUCGCGCCAUUGCACUCCACUCUGGGCAAUAAGAGCGAAACUCCGUCUCAAAGAAAGUUAGCUGGGUGUGGUGAUGCAUGCCUAUAAUCCCAGCUACUCGGGAGGCUGAGGCAGGAGAAUCACUUGAACCCAGGAGGCAGAGGUUGCAGUGAGCCGAGAUUGCACCAUUAUGCUCCAGCCUGGGCAACAAGAGUAAAACUCCGUCUCAAAAAAUAAGUAAAAAUUAGAAAAUAAAGUUUUGGGAAGUCUCGCUGAAUGCCUUCUAGCAUGAAUAUCCUGGUUUACACGCUGUCCAGCACAAGACAGUUGCCCACUCCUCAGACUUCAUAAUUCAUAAGCACUAGGCAUUAGUGCUCUCAUUAAUCUUUGUAAACACAAGAGAAGGGAAAACAUUUUUAUUUGCAUUUUUCUUUUUUUGGGAGGAUGGAGUCUCGCUCUGUCGCUCAGGCUGGAGUGCAGUGGCACUAUCACGGCUUAUUGCAACCUCUGCCUCCUGGGUUCAAGUGAUUCCCUUGCCUCAGCCUCCUGAGAAGCUGUGACUACAGGCGCCCACCACUAUGCCUGGCUAAUUUUUGUAUUUUUAGUAGAGACGAGGUUUUUACCAUGUUGGCCAGGCCAGUCUCGAACUCCCGACCUCAAGUGAUCCGCCCACCUCGGCCUCCCAAAGUGCUGGGAUUACAGGUGUGAGCCACCAUGCCCGGUCUGACUUGCAUUUUUCUUUACUGUUAAGGGUGAAUAUUUUCAUACAUUAGUAGGCAACUUCAUCUUUUCCAUUAUUUUUAUCAGUACCUUUGACAAGUGCAGCGCAGCAUGGAGGAACACAGCCUCCUUGCACCUUUCGUUAUAUCUGCAUAAUUUCCCACUCGCCAGGUGCGUGCAUCCUCUGACAAAACAACCUUGUAUUUCCUUUUGCAAAUGAAUGGAGGCAGCCUAAGGUCACGUGGUAUGUUCCAGGCUCAUAAUAGAGGAUAAGUACACCUCCUUGGCUGUCAGGUGAUGUCUACAUUGUCUACAUUUUAGGAGUUGUUAUUCGUGUUUGUCAUUCCUGGGACCUUUCCUUCUGCUGGAGAAACUUCUUGUUUAGCGUCUAGAGUCAUGUUGGUGGGUCACAGAUUCCUUGGCUCUUUAUCAUAUGGCUUCUGAAAGAGACGCCAUCUGGUGUAAUGGUGGGGAAGGGAGAGCUAGCAGCUAAGAGACGUAGAUUCCUCCAGAAGCACCAGAGGGAGGGUUGGCGUUUUCUUUCUCCCGUGCCGGCCGCCACCCACCCGUUCCUCUUCUCUCCUUAAAGGGCAGUUCUGACCAGAGUAUUUCUCUGCUGCCUGCUGAUCUUAGCACCCACCAUCGUACUGUCACCUACUUUUAAAAAUGGACAGAAAGGCUGGGCACGGUGGCUCACGCCUGUAAUCCCACCACUUUGGGAGGCUGAGGCAGGUGGAUCACAAGGUCAAGAGAUCGAGAGCAUCCUGGCCAACAUGGUGAAACGGUCUCUACUAAAAGAAAAAAUACAAAAAUCAGCUAGGUGUGGUGGCGUGCACCUCUAGUCUCAGCUACUUGGGAGGCUGAGGCAGGAGAAUCGCUUGAACCCGGAAGGCAGAGGUUGCAGUGAGCCGAGAUCGCCUCACUGCAUUCCAGCUGGCCAACAGAGCGAGACUCCAUCUCAAAAAAAAAAAAAAAAAAAAAAUGUAGAAACCAGAGGCGAGAAACCAAAGGUGAGAUUCCGUGGCUCUGGGGCUUAAGAGGUUGUCAUUUUACAUUGUCCCAGAGAUUUUUUUUUUUUUUUUUUUUUGAAGGAAAAGGAUACCAAAAGUGACAAGAGCACACAGGGAGCUUUCAGAUGAGCUUGUGUUUUUCUUUUCUAAAAAUAUGCAAACAGUAGAAAGGCACACAGCCAAGGACAGAUGUAGAAAAGGCAGCGUCCUGUAGGGAUUGGAUGCCAAGCUUUUCAAAUAUUGUUCUCUCCUUGGAAUGUUUUCUUACCAUCUCUGCUUAUCAACAUCCUCCCCAGCCCUCUGGAUCCAGCCUACUGCUGUGUCAGCAAAGCUUUCCUCCUCCCUCAACUUCUGUCUCUCCGCUUGGCCUCCCGGGACACUUGGUUUCUGCCUCUCUUUAUCCAUUUCCUCUUCAUUUUGCCUGCCCAUGUACUGAUCUUUCCUCUCCUACUGGGUGUCCCUUUCUCUGGGAAGACUUCUGUGGCCCCCCUCAUGCCCACCCCAGGUGAGGAUGAGGCGCCCCUUCUAUGUACUCCCCAUGCUCCCCAUUGCCAUUCACCACUUUGUAACAUUAAGGCCCGACUGCUGUUUGGUCUCCCACAAGGCUGUUGUGAGAGGCAGAGACACAGCAGCUGACCUGUUGCCCGUUGGAUCCCAGCACCCAUCACAGUGCAUGAUGCAUCCACAGACCCAAAAGAGCUGUUGAGUGUUGAGUGCAUAGAUACAAGCUCCUGAGGGCAGGAGGUAUGUGCUUUUCUCUGUGUUUUUCACAUCCCAGCGCCCAGGGCCCUGUGUGCUGUGAGUAUAUGCAUACAUGUGCUGCAGGAGGGUGCGUGUGAGCGUGUGUGUGUGUGUGUGUGUGUGCAUAUGUACUCAUCCUGAGCAAGUUACUUGAUCUCCCUGUGCCCCAGUCGCCUGACCUGUACCUGCCCAUUGGUUGUUCCGAGGAUUAACUGUGACCAUCCCUUUAGAGUGCUCAGGACAGUUCCUAACACCCAGUAAGUAUUUGGUAAAUACUUGCUGUGACCUUUUCAGGUGGCACUGGGCCGGGGACAAGUGCAGAGUCUACCUCUGCAUUCAGCAGCCCCAGGGGACUUGACUUUUGAGUUCUAUUUAUUAUGAUGGUGGUGGUUUAAAUCUUCUUCCUCUCAGGCAGACCUUCAGCUGUUACUUUUCUUUUUCUUUAUUGUAAUCAUCUGGUCCUGAAAGCUGAAAGUCAUUACUUUUCAUUGUUGAUCAGAUCUCUGGCUUUGGCUGCUCCUUUCCUCAUAUUGGAUUAAUUGGUUAUUCGUGUGGAUAAUACUGUCUCAAAGCAUGAGUUAUUAUCUGGGUCAUGCCUCCUAAUUGGUGAAGGUGGCCACUUGGUUUAUUUGAGACAAUUCUAAGGAAUAAGGAGCUCUCCACACUAGUGUGAGGGCCCCAGGGCAAAGAUGUUUCCCUGCUCCUCAGAAAGUUCUCAGAGAACUUUGCAAGGUUUUUAUAAACCUUGCAAAGCUCCCGUUAUGAUGGGGAUGAGGUAGUUAUGCAUUAAAAAUAGUCAUAACAGUUAACAGUCCUAAUAAUAAUCUUUAUUUGGAACUAUCAGAAGUCUGAGCGCCUGUUUGAGAAAGAGUUUCCUUGGAUGAAUCACUGCAGGAAUAUGAGAAAGAAACAUGGCACUGUGAGAUCAAAUGUGUAGAUAAAUAAUCCCCUCGCCGAGCUGCAGUCACAAGUGAAUUUAAAGAUAGGAAGGGUUUUAGGGAUAUAUAAUCCAGUUUCUCCUCUCUUUACUUUUUUUUUUUUUUUUAAAGCUUUGGAGCUACUGCUGUAGCUGAAGGAGAAGAAGGGAUGGGAGCUGGCCUCACAGAGGCCUUGUAGAGCCACGGGGCCCCAGAGUCAGACGUUGUACCAGUCAUGCCAACAUCCAGGGCCACAUCCUUGCUGCUCCACCUACUGCCUCCUGUUGGGCAGCUGCAGCCGGUGCCCUUGGCCCUGCAUGGUUACUCCAUCAUGGUACUUAGCAUGUUUUAUUCAGGACACCUCUUUGGUACCAGCAUCCCUACUAGCACGCUAGUCCUGUUGGGAGCAGGACCUGUGUUGUCUCAGUCAUCCCUGCCUCUCUAGAACAAGUACAGAGGGGACACACCACGGGGACUCAGGAUAUGUGUGAUAACUGCAUGAGCCUUUUCACCUUUUGAAUCUCAGCAACCCUCUAAGAACAGGGACCCCAAUUCUAGCCUUCCAGACUGAGACUCGGGAGGCCUGGCUCUUGCCCUAGUCCCACCAUCCGCUGACUGUGUGACCUCAUCAGGUCUAGUGACAUUUGCGAGCCUCAGUAUCCUCAUUUGGAACACAGAGUACUGAUUGUCCUCCACAGUCUUUUACCAGGCAAGAGGCCCUUUUCUUCAGGGUGCCGGGUAAGCUGUCAUCUGCUUGGUAAGAGGUCAUGGUGUUGAGGUAACCAAGAGACCUGGGUGCUAGACCUGCCUGUGCUCUUUCUUUGCACGUGACUUAGGCAACUCACUUCCCUUUCUUGGACCUUGGUUUCUUCGUCUGUGAAAUGUAGGUGGUUAUCCGUGGCAUGUCUGUCUCACAGCAUGAGAGUCCAAGGGGACAAUGGCUGUAGAAGUAUUCUGAGACAGACAGCCUAGCACAGGCAGGAAGAGCUGUGAUGGUGACCAGCAGUAAGUAGUAGUGGUUGUAGCAGCAGCCGCUUGGCCACGUCCCAACUGAAUAAGGAAUAUGCCUCCCCUGCCACAGUGUCUGAAACUCUGCAGAAAGUUUGACUCUCCAUGAGCUUCCUUGAGCCCGGGGGAGAACCUGCCCUGCAAGCCGGGAGGAGGCUCUUGCCCCCACUCAGCCAUUGCCUCGCAUGUGGCUUUAGUUAUGUUUUGUCUUCUUUGUAGGUGUUGAUGUUCUAGACUCUGAAAUGGCAGUGUCAGACUAGACAAGAAGCUCUCACCAGAGACAAAGUGGAAACGGAGAGGUGUUGGUGAUUUAGGGGGCAGCGGGGCCAGAUGCACUAGACACAUUGCAAUGUGCAGGAUCGUCCUGUGCAGUGAAGUCUUGUUUUGCAUGUCCCACCAAAACAUGCGGUUGAAAAACUCAAGCCAGAGCUUGCUCUGUUUUAAGAAAAAGCACUUAUUUUUUUAACCAGGUUUAGUAUGUGCUGAAUUUUCUAGGAAUUUGACUACUGUGUAGGUCAAAAGAAAAUCAUACUUAAUUUUGUUUGUAACUUUACCAAGAGUUGUUUUCUGUUUUGGAAAGUCCUAUCUCCAGCAUCAUCACUGUGACGUUUCAGUCAUCCAUAGACCUCCCCUUCGUCACAUCCCAUUUGCAGCAGCAGCACUCCCAGUGGGUCUGUGGGUAGGUGCAAGUGUGGACCGCCUCCGUCUCCUAGUGUAGCUGGGUCUGGCCCUUUAUGUGUUGUAAUGCACAUUUUAUUAUAGACUACUUCUCUUUUCUCUCUCCUUUAUAGUACAUGUAAGGCAUUAUACUGAUCUUUUCCGAAUUUAUGUAGGUAGGUUAUGUAAUCUAUGAACUUCACUUCAGGAUAAUACAAGGAUCAUUACAAAACAUAAUAAUAAAAAGGGGACCAUUGGGCCUGAGAGGGUUGAAACUUGGGCUGGUUCCUUCCUGCAUUGCAUCUGUGUCUCGCCUGGUUGUCGCUUAACAGUGCCAUGUAGAUAGCACAGUGUCUGUCUCAUCUCACAGCCAGGAAAACUGAGCCCCAGAGGGAGGAAGUGAGUACUUAGCCCAAACCACUUCCUGAUAUGACCCAGUGAGGAAGAGCAGCCGGGAUGAGAACACGCUCCUCUUCUCCUCCAGUGCCAGGAAGUGUGGUGGGAGCAGCGUGGUCUAGCGGGAAGAGUGCAUGUCCUGUAGCCGGGCUACGCUGGGUCUGUGUGACCCUGAGCAAGUCACCUCCUCCAACAGCAGAUGGAGUGACACCACAGGCCCGUGGCAGCUCACAUGACACGAAGAUGCCCGGUGCCUGGUAUGUGGCCUUCAGGGCCGUGCCCCACGCUGCUCCUCUUUUUGUCCCCACAUCCAGCAGUUUUCCAUUAAACCACUGUAGGUCCUCUCAGAACUUACCAGAGUCAUAGUGUCAUCAUCUCCCAUUACUCCAGGAGAGCAGGGCCCUGGUGGCACUUGAAGCAAGACCCCAAGCUGAUGGCACUUGACCACAUAGUGGGAGUGAAUUUUAAAGAAAAUCCCCCUCAAAGGCUCUGCUGGUAUAGAAGGCAGAUAGUCUAGGCCAGGUAGGGCCAGUGAGUGGGAGCCAGGGAAGGAGGCUUGGGUGUCAUGUGACUGGAUUUACAUUUACAGAUGACAAAACCAAGACCCAGUGAGGGGGAGGGUGUGUGCAGGCCACAGGACAAGUCUGGGCAGAACCGUGGCCACGCCCAGCAUUCCUCUGCUAGCGUUCCCUCAUGAAAGAUCACUUUUUCGAGGCCAAGGACCAGAAAAGGACCAGGCUUUAGGAAGAGGGCCGAGGUGCAUGGAAAGCAGUGCUGGUGAGGAGAGGGUUGAAUAACUGGAUUUUGACUGUUUCUUCCCAUUUGGUUCUCACUAAUGAAAUCUUGUCAGACGUGCCCCUGCUGCUGGAUUGGGUGGGGGGUGGGACAGAAGCAUGUGUGGUCAAAGGCAAGUUUAUUUGCAGUUUGGGGGUUGAAUGCAGUGGAUUUCAAACUGGCUAUUUUGAGGAGUUCCAGGGGUCCACCAAGGUAUACCAGGGCCCUCGCCCUCAUGCAACCAGAGUAGUUCUUCAUCGAUUUUAUACAGUGAGACUCUGAAGAAAAGAAAAAGAAAAACCCCACAGCUUAGUGGGAGUCCGGGCGAAUUAAAACACAGGAUGAAGUGCUUGUUCUCUUUGGCUCUUGGAGCAUAAUGUACGUCCUUUUCCUACUUGGUUUGCGUGUAAUAACAUCAUUGGUAUAUUUCAAAAUAUGAAGCUCCUGGUGCUGGAUAAUAAAUGUUUUCCCAGUUUUUCAACCUCUUGUGUCCUUCAUCGAUGCCCAGUGGCCCAGUGGCUGCAACCUCAGCACAGUGUUAAGAGCGAGCCCCGGAAAGGGACUUACAGACAUACCUUCCCGGGAAGAGUCAGGCCCAGCUCCAUGUGCUCUUUGCAGGGGAGUGGAAGGUUGUUAAACCUCAUAGCUCUUGGAGAUGGGGCUGAAUUUUGCUUCUCGUAAACCUCUUUCCAUUGGAAAUUACCUAUCUUUCUCCCCUAAAGAGAAGGAAGUACUGGACUGUCUUCAUCUCCUUGGCUGCCGAGCCCAUUUGACACCUUGUGCCACCUGAGAAAAGGCAGGCCCAGCAUGGCCCUGCCUGAGGGGAACAGGACGGCAAGCCCCUGGCCUCCUGCCUGCUCCCAGCUGCCCUCUGGCGGCCACUUUCUGAAAGCUGGAUGUGUCUAUUUGCUGACCCACCCCUGUUCUCACUCCAGGGCUCCAGAUGUUGUAUCAGGCAGGGCCUUUGUACGCCUCCAUGCCAACAGCUACCCAAAUCGCACCGUCAGUCACACUCUUACUCAGGCUCUCCUGUGCCCCUGGCCCUUCUUCCCCUCUCACUUUUCCCCACACUUCUAAAAUCUCACUCGUCCUGUCAGAAUGUGGCUCCACAGAUGGAGCCUUUCCCAGCCACCCCGCUCCCUGUGACUUUGCACUCUGUCCUGCACUCCCACAGGGCUUUAUUUUUGCCUCUGUCCUAACAGUCAGCUGCCACUUGGCAUGUCCUGCUAUUCCCACUGCAUGAAUCUAGUCAGUUUGGAAAUUCAGAAAGUGGCCUCUUUGUCUCUGGACCCCAAAAACCCGCACAUCGUCUGCCUUAUAAGCUCUCAGUAUAUCCAUCCCUGGCUGCAGGAGCACACCAGGACCCAGAGGCUGCCGUGCCUGGAGCCCUGUCUCCUGACUCAGCCCAGGCCCCAGCUCAGCAUGGGACCAUGUCCAGCAGUAAAGGCUGUGCACUGGCCUGAGCCCCGGGUCCCUCUGACUCACUGGCUCCCAUUUUCACCACCUGCACUGCAUAUUCUCACCGUGUCUCCCCUGACACUCUCUCCCCUGAAGUGUUGUAAUGGGGUUGUAACCCAUCCACCUUCUCUUGUCCUUCUUCAGUCUGUCCUCCCUGGGCUGCGUCUAAAGGGGCCCCGCCCCUGCCCUCAUACACGUUCUCUCCAUACUCCUGGUCACCUUCUGCUCAUCCUUUGCCCUGCUGUUGUGAAGCCUUCCCGGUGUCCCAGGAGACCUCAGGCACCCCUUCCCACUCCUCGCACACUGCUGCUGUCCCAUUUGUUUGGACCCUGGGUUGGUUUGUCUAGACUGUGAGCUCCUCGAGGGCAGGUGUCUGUUUCUGUGUCUCGGGAGCCCUGAAGAGAGACUGACACAUCAGAGGUGUCUGGUGACUGAACAAGCUCCCAGCUUGCGCCCAUGUCGUAUUGUGUGCCUCGCGUAGCCUGACACUUCCUGCCAUCGCACCCUUCUCUGCAGACUAAGACGGAGUUCCUGAACCAAGACCGCUUGCUGGCCAACCUGUGAAACUGGGCUCAAGGUGAGGGGUGCUAUCUGUGAUUGAGGGACAUGGUUAAUGGAAUUGUCUCACACAGAAAUCGCACCCGUCACCUUGGCCUACUUAUCACCACCCCAAACAGAGGAGCACGCCUUCUCCAGCCAUAGCCUAUGGAAAGGCCUUCAGCUGCUGUGGCCCCAGGGGGGUGCAUACUGUGGAAGGAACUUCGGACGUGAACUCGGAUCUGGUUCCAGUACCAGCUGUGCCAGGAGUGUGCCCUUGGGCAUGUCACUGACCUUUCUAAGACUCAGUUUCCCCAUCUGUGAAAGGGCUGAAUCAGACCCACCUCACAGGGUUGUUGUGAGGGUACCAUGAGAUGAUGUUUGUAAACAUUCUUUGUCACCUCUAAAUUACUGUAACAGUUUGAAGUUACUCUUUUUAAAAAAAUUAUUUGCGAAGAUAACUAACAAUAUCAGCCGUGCACAGUGGCUCAUGCCUGUAAUCCCAGCACUUAGGAGGUCAGGGGGUCACUUCAGUGUGAGAGUUCGAGACCUGCCUGGUCAACAUAGCAAGACCCUUGUCUCUACAAAAGAAUUAAAAAUUAGCCAAGUGUGAUGGCAUGUGCCUGUGGUCCCAGCUACUCAGGAGGCUGGGGUAGGAGGAUUGCUUGAGCCCUGGAGUCUGAGGCUACAGUGAGCCAUGAUUAUACCACUGCACUCCAGCCUGGGCAACAGAGCAAGACCCUGUCUCGGGAAAAAAAAAAAAACAAAAAAAAACAGGUAACUAACAAUAUCAACUCCUGUGUGGUGCCAGCAGCCGUCACGUUGGGACACAGAGGGAAGCCAGGCUUCUUGGAUCCUGAUGGCCAGGGAACACUUUCUGAGGGAAGCGGGGCUUGAACCUGGGCCCUGCAGGGCUGGGGGUGAAUGGGGGGAUCUGAUGAGGAGGAGGACGGCAGCACCAGCAGAUCUUGGUGGUUUGGAAGUUCAAAUCAAGGUCUGAGAAGAGGCUCUGCCUGACCCUGGGGGUCUCCCUCGGCACAUUGGCAGCACUGUGCAUGCCUCACGGGGGCCCCUAAUUUCAGAGCAUCCCACCUGCAUCCUGCUGCUGCCAUUGUCCUCCUUGAAAGAGCUGCCGGCUUAUUGCAGUUUACAUCCCAGAGAAGAGAGGUCUCCUCCUUCCACCAGUCCCAGGAUUAUCUCCCUAACACUAAUGGCGAGAUUCCUUUGGAGUUUUAGUCUUCGUUGGUACAGCCCAGGCACCAUGUGCCCACUCAGGGUUUGAGAUAGGCAGUGGUUCAUUCCCCAGCCUUGCCUCACCAGCAGCUUCCUGACGCCUCCUGGUGGGGCUCAGGAAGCAGCCAGCUGAGGUGUGCCUGCCAUGGUCAGCACAGGGGUUGACAGAAGUGGCACAGAUUCUGGGGGCAGGUGACAGUACCAUGCCCUAGCUCCAGGCACCCGCUCCACCCUGUCACAUGGAGCAGCUGUGAAACCUUGAGCAAGCCAUUUCACCAUUCUAAGCCUUAGUGUCAUCUUUUUUUUUUUUUUUUUUUUGAGGUGGAGUCUAGCUCUUGUCACCCAGGCUGGAGUGCAGUGGUGCAAACUCAGCUCACUGCAACCUCCGCCUCCCGGGUUCAAGCAAUUCUCCUGCCUCAGCCUCUCGAGUAGCUGGGGCUACAGGCAUGCACCACCACGCCCGGCUAAUUUUUGUAUUUUUAGUAGAGACAGGGUUUCACCAUGUUGGCCAGGCUGGUCUUGAACUCCUGACCUCUGGUGAUCCACCCACCUCGGCCUCCCAAAGUGCUGGGAUUACAGGUGUGAGCCACCAUGCCCGGCCAGUUUCCUCAUCUUUAAAAUGGGUGUGACAACCACCUCACAGAGUUGUCAUGAGGCUCAAAUGAUAAAAUAGAUGGGACUGUGAUUUGUAAGCAUACGGCACCGUGAAUGCAAGUUGUUCCUGAAGUGCCCAAUCCCUAGAUAGACACUGGGAUCUCAUCCCUCAGUCGUAGCCAGAGUCACUUCAUUCUGGUGUGCCACCCCCGAGAGCUAAGCCGUAUACUCCUUACAGAAAGGAACAAACCCCUUCCUGGAUGCUCUUGCCUGGAUCUUGGCUCCCUGAGAUUGCAGGGAGAUAGCAGGAAUUACUUUCUCCAUUUUAAGAAGGAAGAAACAAAGGCUCACAGUGCUGAGAAACUUGCCCCAGGCCACUCUGGUGAAUGCAGAGCUCAAGGCCCAGAGCCCAGAUAUCCUGAUUUCCUGUCCAGGUCUCUGCCCAGUGGACCAGACUGCCUCUCAAAAGACCCUGCUCAGCUGGCAGCCCCCCAUCUUUCUAAACUGUAACCCGGCCUGGUCAGAGGUUGAUUGUUAAUAAACAUUUAACCUGCCCGACCUUUCUACCCACAUACCCACAUCUUCGAAAGUGAGGGAAGAAUUCAUUCACAGCUGUUUUCUUUUUUCUUCACGUAGCAUGUAUCAUUUCUGUCCUAAGGAAUGAGUUUUACAAGUAGCCUCCUGCCAGCUUCAGCUCAUAUAGGAUAAAAGCCAGCUCACAUAUUUUGGUAGAUAACCCCAGAGAUUCAGAAAGCCAAGUGCUGAACUUGAGAUACAGUUUCCAGUUUGAGAGUGGACAGGCUGCGAGUGUUUGAGGCUCUGCCCCCUGCCUAUCUGCUGCCUGCCCUCACUCAUCCACGUGUCCAUGCAGCAGGGGGGUUCACAGCAGCCACUGCCUGACUGGCCAGCUCCUGCACUUAGCCCACUCUGAUCCAUUCCCCGCAUAGCAAGCAGACUGCAUUUCACCUCUCACUCAGGUCUCAGUCCUUGCCCAGAACUCUAGGUUUUUAGGCUUAACUCAGAAUAUAGUCCACAUCCUUACCAAGGCCUGCGUAGCCCAGCAUGCUGUGGCCCUGGCUGUCUUUCUGAACUCACUUCCUCCCUACUCUCUACCUCUCCUCCUUCAUUCCAGUUACACCAUGCCCCAGAUGUGCCAGGCACGCUCCUAACUCAGGGCCUCUACACCCAAGGCCCCUUGUGCCCAGAAUGUUUUCUCCCCAAAACCUCAGGGCUCCUUCCCUCACUUCUUCCAGGCAUCUGCUUAUACCACCUAAUCACAGAGUUUGUCUUAAGAACAACCGACACACAUUCCUUUAAUUCUCAUUCUCUGCUGUUUUUCUUCCUACAUGUUGUAUCUUUGUUUGUUGCCUGUCUCUCCUCUCUAGAUAGUAAGUUCCAGGGGAGCAGUUUGUAUCCACAGCUAUGACCCCAUCUGUGAAUUACUGAGCAUCUAUUCUGGGCCAUGCACCAAAACACAAAGAUUAUGAAUAAGACUUGGUCCCUGUGUUCACAGAACUCACAGCCAGGUGGAGAGAGAGCCUUGUCAAUACAGUGUAUGUUAUGCUAUGAUGCAGAGAACACAGGGCUUCUUGCAGGGGAGGCUAUGGUGAAGGGGAGAGCUACUGGGAGAGCCCUGGGGGUGGGCAUGCCUGAUCUGAGUCUUAAAGGGGAUGGACAGACGUUCGCCAGUUAGAAGAGUAGCCCAAAAAGAAGCAAAAUAGGCAACGGCACAGAGGCAUGUGAACCUAGCGCUGCCAUUUUGGAUGCAUGUGGGAGAAGAGAAAGGGGAGGCUGAGGAACAAGCAGGACCAGGCCCAGAAGGGCAGGCUUUGAGCAUAACAUCCCAGGCUUAGCCUCAUGCCUGGAGCUGCGAGGAAGGUCAAAGAGCAAAUGAGAGCCAGGACUCAUAUUUAACUCUAAGUGGCUUCAAGUCUAUAUGCUCAGAAUGGUGCCCGGCAGGUAGGGAGCACUCAGCGGUGGGUGCUGCUCUCAUCAUCUUCCUCAUGCUUCCUCUCUAGCCCCUCAGGUGCAGAAAUUAAGUCCCAGUGAGAAGAAGUGAGUAGCUGGCCCAGGGUCAAAGGCCCGCUAGAAUCAGUCUGUUCAUCGUGUGGGGGAAGGAUUUGGGCCGGGAGGAGGGAAAUCAAGGAAGGAAUGAGGUGCCAAGCUUCAGAUGCCCCCACAAGGCAGCAAGUGUGAGGGGUGGAGGGGGGAUUCCUUUGAAGUCCAGUGUUGUGCUCUUAAAAUCCAUGCGUAUUUUGCCUAUUUGAACUGGAUUCCAGGGAAGGAAAGAGGGAAUGAUGGUGUAUUCCUGAGGGAGGGUGCUAAGGGAGUUGGGACAUUCAGGGAGGAGAGAGGUUUGGUGGGAUUGGCUGGGAGCAGCCAGGGCACCAGGACAGGCAAGCUGGAGCCUGAGAGGCCUCCAGUCCCAAAGUAAGGAUGAACCCAAUCCCAAGGUUCCCACGUGGAGCAGUGGAGAACCACAGUAGUUUCCUGGCCAAGGAAUGGCCUGGAAGACCAGUGCUUUCCAGAAUUGACUCUGUAAGCAGACUCAAUGGGAUAAGUGGAGGCAGAGAGGCCAGUUGGAGACCCUUGGAAAGCCCUCCAAGUGAGAGCAUGAGGCUUGGAUCUAGACAGGCCAGAGAGGAUGCACCUAAGAGACAGUUUGCGGGAGAGGCAGCAUUUCAUGGAGUCCGGCAAGGGGCCAAGCGAGGAGGAUGGCGGGGAAUCAAAUGAGCCUUACUUCUGUGAGAGGGCGCCAACUUGGUUUUCCCAUACCAAAGUUUGGGGUGGUGCCAAAUUUAGGCAUGCCUCACAGGCAUUCUCUGCACACUUGCUCCCUUCUGACGCCACACCUACCCUGUUCCAUCCCAUUGCCCACAGAGUUGAGUGCCACCUAGAGGGUAUCUCCUGGCAGACACCUGGUGUUACCAAGGCCUGUGAGCCAAGCCCCACAAGGAGUCUGGACAGUCCUCCAGGGCCAGGGCCCCGCGAACUUGCUGGAGUCAGGUGGGCAGGAAGAUUCUGAUAGGUUAGCUGAGCAGCCUCAUUAAAGAUUGAGGUGGGGAAGCCCACUUGAUUGCUGGAUGGUGUAUCAGUUACCCACUGCACCAGCCAGGUGACAGAGGAGAAGAGGUAAGUGGCCCAGUGCGAGAGGUGCCCCCGGCCUGUGCCGCGGAGCCCUGCCCGUGAUGGUCAGCAGGGAGUGGGCCUUCCACUGCUUUUGCUUCUGCCACUGGGACUGCACCGUGCUUUGCAGAGUGAGCUGUAGGUGAUGGGAGCCCCUCUCUCUCCUCCUUGCUCCUCAUGGGCCUCUCCUUUCACUCCCACCUGCUCCGGGGGUGGGGGUGGGGGUGGGAGUGCUGGAUCUUGGGACGAGUAUCUGUCACUGACCAACUGCGGGGUUUGCAAUGACAUCCUUGUGGAAGCGGCAGUGUGGAAGCAGCAGCUGGGUACUGGGAGACCUGAGCUUCUGUUCUAGCAGCACCGUUCACUGGAGACGCAUGACCUUGGGUAGCUUUUCUGAGCCUCAGUUUCCCCACCUAUAAAAUAGAGUUAAUAGGCCCAACCGUGGAUGAUUGGGCAGAUUAGUCACAAAAAAAAAAAAAAAAAAGCAAUGCAAUGAUGCUCGGUAAACCAUUAAGCAUUAAGAUGUGGCAGAUUUUUAUUGCAAUUUGUUCUGUUUGAGGUUCAUUUUAAGGUUAGUUUUGUGUCCUGAAAUAAGCAUAUUAGGAAGAGAGAAAAAAUGUUCUGCAGGGAAAACAACUCCCCUAAAGAACACAGCCUAGUGGGCCCAAACAGUGGGGGUGGGGUGUCCUGGCCUGGAAGCUGGAGACUGGGUCUAGCCCUGCGUUCCCCAUUUUGAACGUGAGCUUCGGCAAGCCCCUGCCCUUUCCCUGGGCCUUGGGACCCCUCUACACAAGGGUUGCUGCUCACCGGUACAUGGGCAGCACCAGGCCCCCUGCUGUCCUUUGUCAGAAUUCAAACGCUUUUCCUCUCCAGUAUCUCCUUUUUAGUGCAUGACUGCAAGGGCUGGUGGUGCUUCCCACUGUGGCCCUGGUCAGUCCCCUACUCUCUGAAGUGCCAUCCCCAGAUCUGUAAGUGAUGACCUUCCAACCUGACAGGUCUUUCAGACCCUGAGCUCCUAGACACAGCUUUACCUAUUGGUCACCAUGGAGCUGAGCUGUCUCUGCUAAGCCCAGGGCCAGGUAGGAGGGUCUGUUGCAGGAUUUCAGUGAGUCGGUUGGCUCUGGUAAUCUGAGCUUGAGCCUAAAUUCAUGUAGUAAGAACUCAGCAGAAAAGACUAGAAAAUUCACGCCGGGUUCCUGUAAGCAAGCAACUAAGCUGUCUAAGCUCGUGUUAGAAUAGGGAGGGUGACAGUCAGGUAUUUGUCUCCUCCUGAGCUGAGCUCGGAGGAUAGGGUUCAACACUAGCUGCCUUUGUUUCCCAAAGACAAAUGCAGAGCUAUUUGUUUAUUAACCAGGGCUGAGCAUCAGUGCACUGGGGUGGACAGAGCCCUGGGCCAGGUGACAUUUGUCAUGGGCUCUGGUCCCAGCUCUGCCACCAAUUCCUGUAUGGCUUUGGCCAGGUGAUGGUAAAGAUAGUGGCCAGACCAAGCUUAGCCCAGUUCACAGACUCCAUUCUCGCUUGGACAUUUGCUUGCUUGGUGAUAGGAAUGGCACCUGUGAGGAAAGCAGGGCCUUGUAACAAGAGGGAAAGGUGUGCCAGGGAUGGUCCAAUCUCACUGUGAAAUGAGGGGACCCUCUGGAAAGAGGGAAAGGUGUGCCGGGGAUGGCCCAAUCUCACUGUGAAAUGAGGGGACCCUCUGGAAAGAGGGAAAGGAGCCAGCCAGAAAGAUGGCAGAGCAGGGAGAGGCCUUAGAAGGACUUGGGACUCUGCCCACCUCAGACCAGGUGGCUGUCAUUUGUUGGCCAGAAAUUCCAUCAAGCAUCACUGAGCAAGUGCUGGAUCCUUUGUCUCUGGCACUCCUGGCAUCUCAGGUUCUAUCUUUUCAGGAGCCCCAGGGAGACUUCCCAUAGAGACUAACUGGAAACUGAGCCCAUCCCUUCCAUCCCAGAGGAGCUGGGGGCUGGUCUCCCAGAGCCUCAUAAAUGCUCAGGGCUGGGUAGGAGGAAGGCCUUCUUCAGGAGGAGGGGUCAGUAGUGCCUCGUCUUCUCUGCCUGCCUUUGGCUGUAUAAAUUAAUGCACUACCUCAGACAGGAGACACACCACUCCCUGCCUACCCUGCACCUGCCACACCUCGUGGGGAUGGAUUGCAGAGCAGGGAUUCUCCUCCAUAGGGACUCUUAGACAUUUAUUUGUUUAGAGGUAGUGCAUGAUUUGGAAAUUCAAAAAGGAAUAUAAGCCCACAAUCCCGAGAUAGCCACUGUUAACAUUUUAGUGUAUUUCCUCCUGUGUCCUUUAGAGUUGUAGAAAUUUAGAUCUGAUGAUCUUUGGUUCCACCCUUCUCACUUUAUAGAAAAUGGAAGCCCAGAGAGGAGAGGGACUCCCACACACCUAACUUACUGGCAGAGCUCCAGCACAGUUCACUCUGAAGGGGAUUCGUACAAUCCAGAACCGUCCAGAAGAGCACAGCCAAGGCAGGAAGGGACUGGAAGACAGGACGGGGACCAAGGGAGGCCUGGAGGGGAGUGCACUAGGGCUGUCAAGCCAGCACAGAGAGACGGCCUUUGUGGUCCUGACAGACCACUGGGGGCAGUCCUGGCAAGACAGAUUUCACCCUUUGGGAAGAAGACUUUGCCAGUGAGAACCACCCACCCCGACUAGGGCCUCGCACUCGAGGUCAGACCAGGUGGCUCCUAAGGCUCUCUGUACGGCCCUGAGAACCUGUCCAGCUCCUGGGAUACCUCUCCUGGUGCCACGUGGAUGGACAUUGAGGCAGCAAGGCCAUUGGGUGCUGGCAGUGUGCCACACUCCUGCCCAAGAAGGGGCUCUGCCAGGGGGCUCCGAGCUGCAGCUUCUCACACUCGCGCCGGGGCUGGGCUCCCCUUCUUGCUCUCUCUGUCUCUGUGCCCCGCUUGACCCUUCUUCUUCCAUGUGUCCUAUCCACCUGCGGUCUUGGUGACUCUGUGGAGGGCUUUAGAGUCCUCUGUUUUGGGGUUGAAGCCUGGCUUAACUGUUGACUGUUCAGAGGCCACAAAGAUGCUGCUUCAGUUCUCCAACUCUUCAGCUUUCUUACGGGUAAAGUGGAGCUCACAGCAGGAUUCCUAGGAUGAGGGAAGCUAAACGAGGUGGCGUCUGAGUCUCUGGCACAGGAUCUAGUACAUAGUGUAAUAGACACUCAAUAAACUUGAGUUCUCUCCUUA